GGGGGCGUGGCGCAACGGUAGCGCGUCAGAUUCCAGAGUGUAUUUUUCAAAUCAUCUUGAUUGUGGAUUUAAAAGCUGGAGUCUCCUGAAGGUUGUGCGUUCAAAUCGCACCGUCCUCA